UACGAAGGGGGCUAGCGUUGCUCGGAAUCACUGGGCGUAAAGCGCACGUAGGCGGGUUGCCAAGUCGGGGGUGAAAUCCUGGAGCUCAACUCCAGAACUGCCUUCGAUACUGGCGAUCUUGGAGUCCGGGAGAGGUGAGUGGAACUGCGAGUGUAGAGGUGAAAUUCGUAGAUAUUGGGAGGAACACCAGUGGCGAAGGCGGCUCACUGGACCGGUACUGACGCUGAGGCGCGAAAGCGUGGGGAGCAAACAGG
rnacentral:rRNA from 1 species